rnacentral:rRNA from 1 species
UACGUAGGGACCGAGCGUUGUCCGGAAUCAUUGGGCGUAAAGAGCGUGUAGGCGGCCACUUAAGUCCUGCGUGAAAUCUUGCGGCUCAACCGCAAGCGGUCGUGGGAAACUGGGUGGCUAGAGUGCGGGAGAGGAGAGUGGAAUUCCUGGUGUAGCGGUGGAAUGCGCAGAUAUCAGGAGGAACACCCGUGGCGAAGGCGGCUCUCUGGGACGGUACUGACACUGAGACGCGAAAGCGUGGGGAGCGAACAGG